AGCGAACAUUGGCGGUAGGCUUAACACAUGCAAGUCGAGCGAGGCGUAAUAGUCGAGCGGCGAACGGGUGAGUAACACAUGGGAAUCUACCCUGAAGUGGGGGAUAACGUUCAGAAAUGAACGCUAAUACCGCAUAAUCCACAUUGGGAAAGCGUUGCAGCGCUUUAGGAUGAGCCCAUGGCUGAUUAGCUAGUUGGUGAGGUAAUGGCUCACCAAGGCGACGAUCAGUAGCUGGUCUGAGAGGAUGAUCAGCCACACUGGAACUGAGACACGGUCCAGACUCCUACGGGAGGCAGCAGUGGGGAAUCUUGCGCAAUGGGGGCAACCCUGACGCAGCCAUACCGCGUGAGUGAUGAAGGUCUUCGGAUUGUAAAGCUCUUUCGGCGGGGACGACGAUGACGGUACCCGCAAAAGAAGUCACGGCUAACUUCGUGCCAGCCGCCGCUGUAA
rnacentral:rRNA from 1 species